CUUUUUUUUUAAUUUCAAAAACCGCUACUCUUCUUUACUCAUUUUCCCAUAUUUUCUUCCUUUUUACUCCUCACUUUUUCUGUACCAGAAAAUAUCUAGAGCAAACAAGCGCAGGGCUCACACUUGGGAACUAAAUCUUACAUAUCUUAUUAGCAUGCUGAUCUGCUUCCACAACACACAGAUAGAGAAGCUGUUCUGGGAAAGCAUUCUCCAGGCGCCAAUUUGCUGGAAAAGCAACUUUAUUUAUGACCCUGUCACUCUGAGGUCCCUAUUUAGUAUCACUGUCAGGGAAAUGAUUUAGUAUUUUCCAGCCUGCCUUCCCAUUAGCUUGAUAACAGCAAAUUGUUUACCUAUUUAAAAUGGAAAUCUUUUCUGCUUGAAGCGCUUGCAUUCUGCACUUCGUAUAAUAAUAUACAGAGGUAUAAACUGUAUUUGGGAGCAUGGCGCUCCUGUCUUGGUAGCAUCUUACACUUGUCUAGUGCAGAGGUUAAUUAGUGCUACAGGGAGAGCUCGGGUCAGGAAAAGCUGACUCUGAAAAUGGCAUGAUGUACUUCCACAUUUUCAGUACCAGUUCUCUCUGUACCAGUGGUGUGCUUUUGAGAAGUAAAAUCACAUUCUCUUCUUGAUGCUGGACCUCACUGCACCAAAACAGGGUUUCUGCUUGUGUCUGCUGCCACCAGUUCAGCUCUGCUGAUGCACUUGUAAACAACAAGGUCAAAGGCCGCUGAUAACUUGGCUGUGGUGCACAAGAACAGACUGUGGCAUGGCCAGAUUUCUUAUGUGACUUUCUGUAAGGAACGGUCUUAGCAGGGGGUUGGAUUCAAUGAUCUCCAACACUUAAGAAUCUGUGAUUCCGUGGCAUAUAAAAAUAUUCCAUGCUGUAGGCUCCUGUUGCUUAACACUUGCAGGCUGUGAAGCCAAGGUCUAGCACUGGAAAGACACAAAUCCAGAGUGUCUGAUCACAACUCUUGCCCUUGGCAGCAUGAAGACCCGUCAAACACCUGCAUCUUUGGCAAGCCCUCCACCUAGCAGACACCACAUAAGCCAUAAUCACUCUUCCUCCCUCCAACCCUUGGCUAUUGCCAUGUUUUCCAGUUCUGAUCUGCAAGCAGCAACCAUGAGAAAGAUGAGAUGCAUCCAGGAACAUCCACUGUAUUCCAGUGGUGUAUGUCACUGCUUUACGGUGGAGUUGGGAAUGCAAGUGUGGUAGAAGAGCUAUGUUUUACAUAAUUUAAAAAAUAGUUUUAUAGCAAUGCUAGAGAAUAUGCAAAGACUGAGCCUAUGUGAGAAGGAAGCUAGAUUACAUAAGUCACUUGGUCCAUCUCUGAUGUUUUCAUGUUUUCCUAAGCACUUUUAAAAGGCAAUUUCUGUGCCUGGUUUUUCCUCCAAAUGCCUAUAUAUCCACCUCUUCAUUCAAUCUUCUGAAGUGGAACUUAACAGUUCAUAGAAAGUAGCUUUUGCUUUAGAGGAGUAAGCAAAGGUCAUCAUCUAUGCUGUGGUUCAAGAUCACCCCAUCUUUGGUAUACUCUAAUGAAUGUAACAGCUAGAGGAGGGUGAGAGAAAAAAUAGCUCUAAAAAUCAGACUUGUAGGCAUUCUCCUAACAAACUGAAAAAUAAAAGAGCUCAGAGCAACAGGGUAACUGAAGGUACCAGUGCUUUAGGGUGUAUUUCAGAUAAGUGUGCCUUUAAAAGCAGCUAGACAAAUAGAAGAGAAUGACUUCUGGAGCAGAAGUACAUUUCAGCAGCUAUGGAAAGACCGACAAUCAGGAAAAGAAGAGAGACAUCAUCAGCCUCUGCCCUGGAAGUGAGCAGGUUCUGGAUCCACAAGGAUGAAGUGCACACACAAACUUAGCAGAGCUGUCAGAGAAAGAUCCUCCACGUUGUACUUGCCUUGAAGGCAAGUCACCCACUGAGCAGAUUUCACUUUCCUGUCCAGGCAGUACAAAGCAGCCCCUUCAGCAAAGGGAUUUCCUUCUGCCUGCAGACCAGUUCUGACUUCACUGUCAGGGUGCCCACAACAUACCUUGUUACAGGGCAGAGUCUGAAAGCUUCACCCAGAUGGAGAAACACACAGGGGACAAGAGACUGCGCAAGGAGUGGCUGCACCUCUACAACCUCCUCAUGAGGACUUGGCUCGUUCAAACACUGGAUGGAUCUGCUAGGACUGCCUCUGAUGCCACAAUCUUUCACAGGUUGUUUUAUCCCUGAUGUAUUUUUAUGAAAGAAUGAAUAAAUAAACGUCAG